rnacentral:rRNA from 1 species
AUUGAACGCUGGCGGCAGGCCUAACACAUGCAAGUCGAGCGGAUGACGGGAGCUUGCUCCUUGAUUCAGCGGCGGACGGGUGAGUAAUGCCUAGGAAUCUGCCUGGUAGUGGGGGACAACGUUUCGAAAGGAACGCUAAUACCGCAUACGUCCUACGGGAGAAAGCAGGGGACCUUCGGGCCUUGCGCUAUCAGAUGAGCCUAGGUCGGAUUAGCUAGUUGGUGGGGUAAUGGCUCACCAAGGCGACGAUCCGUAACUGGUCUGAGAGGAUGAUCUGUCACUAUGGAACUUAGACACGGUCCAGACUCCUACGGGAGGCAGCAGUGGGGAAUAUUGGACAAUGGGCGAAAGCCUUAUCCAGCCAUGCCGCGUGUGUGAAGAAGGUCUUCGGAUUGUAAAGCACUUUAAGUUGGGAGGAAGGGCAGUAAGCUAAUACCUUGCUGUUUUGACGUUACCGACAGAAUAAGCACCGGCUAACUCUGUGCCAGCCGCCGCCGUAA